GAGACUUACUCAUUCUCUUUCAUUCUGUUUAUCCACUAUCAUGAAUAUAACUUAUCUUACUGUUUCUACACUUUCACUUAAAGCUAACAUUUCUUUUUAUUUCUUUUUAUUACUUAGCUUCAUGGAGCUAAGUCUUACUGAAAAUGUUUUUUCCUGGCUGGGCGCAGCAGCUCACACCUGUAAUUACAGCACUUUGGGAGGCCGAGGCAGGUGGA